rnacentral:rRNA from 1 species
GACGAACGCUGGCGGCGUGCCUAAUACAUGCAAGUCGAGCGGACUUGAAGAGAAGCUUGCUUCUCUGAUAGUUAGCGGCGGACGGGUGAGUAACACGUGGGCAACCUGCCUGUAAGUCGGGGAUAACUCGUGGAAACAUGGGCUAAUACCGGAUAAUGUCUUAGCGGCGCAUGUCGCAAAGAAGAAAGAAGGGGCAACCUUUCGCUUACAGAUGGGCCCGCGGCGCAUUAGCUAGUUGGUGAGGUAAUGGCUUACCAAGGCGACGAUGCGUAGCCGACCUGAGGGGGUGAUCGGCCACACUGGGACUGAGACACGGCCCAGACUCCUACGGGAGGCAGCAGUAGGGAAUCUUCCGCAAUGGACGAAAGUCUGACGGAGCAACGCCGCGUGAGUGAGGAAGGCCUUCGGGUCGUAAAGCUCUGUUGCCAGGGAAGAACGCUUGCGAGAGUAACUGCUCGCAAGGUGACGGUACCUGAGAAGAAAGCCCCGGCUAACUACGUGCCAGCAGCCGCCGUAAGAC